GCCGGCAGCUAGCUCUCUGCAACUCCCACAUGGUGACCCACUGAAGAUGAGCAGGGCUGCGCCCGGUCAGUAUCUGGAUGGGAGUCCACAUGGGAAAGCUAGGUUGCUGCCGGAG
rnacentral:rRNA from 1 species